rnacentral:rRNA from 1 species
AGAGUUUGAUCAUGGCUCAGAACAAACGCUGGCGGCGUGCCUAACACAUGCAAGUCGUGCGAGAAAGUCCCCUUCGGGGGGCGAGUAAAGCGGCGAAAGGGUGAGUAACACGUGGGUAACCUGCCCCUUGGACCGGGAUAACCCGCCGAAAGGUGGGUUAAUACCGGAUAAGACCACGCGGACACAGGUCCGAGCGGUAAAAGAUGGCCUCUGCUUGCAAGCUAUCACCGAGGGAUGGGCCCGCGGCCUAUUAGCUAGUUGGUAGGGUAACGGCCUACCAAGGCUAUGAUGGGUAGCCGGCCUGAGAGGGUGUACGGCCACACUGGAACUGAGACACGGUCCAGACUCCUACGGGAGGCAGCAGUGGGGAAUUUUGCGCAAUGGGGGAAACCCUGACGCAGCAACGCCGCGUGAGUGAUGAAGGCCUUCGGGUCGUAAAACUCUUUUGGUGGGGAAGAAAUGCGCAGCGGUCAACACCCGCGGCGCUUGACGGUACCCGCAGAAAAAGUCCCGGCUAACUCCGUGCCAGCAGCCGCGGUAAUACGGAGGGGGCCAGCGUUGUUCGGAAUCAUUGGGCGUAAAGAGCGCGCAGGCGGUUGGGUCAGUCAGACGUGGAAGCCCUGGGCUUAACCCAGGAAUUGCGUUUGAUACUGCCCGGCUCGAGUUCGGGAGAGGGUGGCGGAAUUCCCAGUGUAGAGGUGAAAUUCGUAGAUAUUGGGAGGAACACCUGUGGCGAAGGCGGCUACCUGGACCGAUACUGACGCUGAGGCGCGAAAGCCAGGGGAGCGAACGGGAUUAGAUACCCCGGUAGUCCUGUGCUGUAAACGAUGAUGACUAGGUGUAGGAGGUAUCGACCCCUCCUGUGCCGCAGCUAACGCAUUAAGUCAUCCGCCUGGGGAUUACGGCCGCAAGGCUAAGAACUCAAAGGAAUUGACGGGGGCCCGCACAAGCGGUGGAGCAUGUGGUUAAAUUCGACGCAACGCGAGAAACCUUACCUGGGCUUGACAUCCCGUGCAACCCGGUGGAAAGCCCGGUUUUCCCUUCCGGGGACGCG